rnacentral:lncRNA from 1 species
UUCAGAGAGGGUUAGUUGGUGUUGUCUGUACUGUCAUGGUGGUUUCAGAGAGGGUUAGUUGGUGUUGUCUGUACUGUCAUGGUGGUUUCAGAGAGGGUUAGUUGGUGUUGUCUGUACUGUCAUGGUGGUUUCAGAGAGGGUUAGUUGGUAUUGUCUGUACUGUCAUGGUGGUUUCAGAGAGGGUUAGAUGGUGGUUGUCUGGGGUUGGUAGAUGAGGUGAGAUUAGCUUGGCGUCUGUGAACUGUAGUGUUAUUGUUCUAAGAUUGUAGAGUGGCGUGAUGGAUGGAUGGAUGGAUGGAUGGAUAGGUGGUGGGAGUACAUUAUUAGAAGGAUUCCACAGGUUGUUGUGGUAGAUAAGAUGUAUCAGUCACUGUCUGACAGUGGAUAGGAUGUUUGCUGUAGUGUUGUUAGUGGAGGUUAGGACUAGUAACAGGGAUGUUGUAGUGUUUGUGGAGGUUAGGACUAGUAACAGGGAUGUUGUAGUGUUGGUGGAGGUUAGGACUAGUAACAGGGAUGUUGUAGUGUUGGUGGAGGUUAGGACUAGUAACAGGGAUGUUGUAGUGUUAGUGGAGGUUAGGACUAGUGACAGGGAUGUUGUGGUGUUGGUGGAGGUUAGGACUAGUAACAGGGAUGUUGUAGUGUUAGUGGAGGUUAGGACUAGUAACAGGGAUGUUGUGGUGUUGGUGGAGGUUAGGACUAGUAACAGGGAUGUUGUAGUGUUGGUGGAGGUUAGGACUAGUAACAGGGAUGUUGUAGUGUUUGUGGAGGUUAGGACUAGUAACAGGGAUGUUGUGGUGUUUGUGGAGGUUAGGACUAGUAACAGGGAUGUUGUAGUGUUAGUGGAGGUUAGGAUUAGUAACAGGGAUGUUGUGGAGGUUAGGACUAGUAACAGGGAUGUUGUAGUGUUUGUGGAGGUUAGGACUAGUAACAGGGAUGUUGUAGUGUUAGUGGAGGUUAGGAUUAGUAACAGGGAUGUUGUGGAGGUUAGGACUAGUAACAGGGAUGUUGUAGUGUUUGUGGAGGUUAGGACUAGUAACAGGGAUGUUGUAGUGUUUGUGGAGGGUAGGACUAGUAACAGGGAUGUUGUAGUGUUGGUGGAGGUUAGGACUAGUAACAGGGAUGUUGUGGAGGUUAGGACUAGUAACGGGGAUGUUGUGGUGUUGGUGGAGGUUAGGACUAGUAACAGGGAUGUUGUAGUGUUUGGAGGUUAGGACUAGUAACAGGGAUGUUGUAGUGUUAGUGGAGGUUAGGACUAGUGACAGGGAUGUUGUGGUGUUAGUGGAGGUUAGGACUAGUGACAGGGAUGUUGUGGUGUUAGUGGAGGUUAGGACUAGUAACAGGGAUGUUGUGGUGUUGGUGGAGGUUAGGACUAGUAACAGGGAUGUUGUAGUGUUAGUGGAGGUUAGGACUAGUAACAGGGAUGUUGUAGUGUUGGUGGAGGUUAGGACUAGUAACAGGGAUGUUGUAGUGUUGGUGGAGGUUAGGACUAGUAACAGGGAUGUUGUAGUGUUCAUUGAGGUUAGGACUAGUAACAGGGAUGUUGUAGUGUUAGUGGAGGUUAGGACUAGUUACAGGGAUGUUGUAGUGUUCAUUGAGGUUAGGACUAGUAACAGGGAUGUUGUAGUGUUAGUGGAGGUUAGGACUAGUAACAGGGAUGUUGUAGUGUUCAUUGAGGUUUGGACUAGUAACAGGGAUGUUGUAGUGUUAGUGGAGGUUUGGACUAGUGACAGGGUUACAGAGCCAUGGUGGUGUUGAUGUUGUCUCUAUGGAAGUGCUGCCCUGGAAGAGCAAGGUAUUCAUCCAGUGUUGUAGACCCAGCCGUGCAUUUCUCUCUCUGUCAUUUUCUGUCUCUUUCUGUCUGUCUCUCUUUGUCGCUCUCUCUUUCUCUCGCUCUCCCUCCUUCUCUCUCUUCAUCUGUCUCUCGGCCUUUCGCUCUAUCUCGCCCUCUGUGUGUUAGUGAUUACAUCACUCGCCCUCUCUGUCUCUUUCUCUCUCUCUCUCUCUCUCUCUCUCUCUCUCUCUCUCUCUCUCUCUCGCCAUCUCUGUGUCUCUCUCUCGCCCUCUCUGUCUCUCUCUCUCUCUCUCUCUGCCUCUUGCAUAACUGCC